UUCAUAGGAGAUUUACUUUUAUUGUUUGUGAGGCAUUACACAGAGCUCAACUUUAAGUAUUUAAUAAUGCCCCAUCAUUGGCUAAGACAGAAUGUCUGUCUUUGGAGAAAAUAUAUUCGAAAAGACCGAAGAUAUUUGGGUAAUUCUUUGACAAACUCUUGGCCAAUGUCUUCCACUUUUUUGGUAUGCAUAAAAUUAGGAGUACCAUGAGAAACUUUUCUAUAUUUUCCUUUGUGAAAAGUUUAAUAUUUAAACAAAUUGAAAAUGUUAUUUUACAAAUUAAAUGAUGACAAGCCCAUUAAAUCGAAGCCAUUAGAUUUGUCUGCAAA